UUUACAGUAGGGAUACUUUCAUGGUCUUCUGUUCAGAAAUAUCUAUUUAAGGAUAAUAUUCUGAGUAUUGUGGUACAUGUGAACUUUGCUAGAAUAUCAUAUGAGGUAUAAAAAGAAGAUAUCUGUAGAAAAAUGGCUCCCAGAGGGAAGUGAAUAUAGCACAGCUUGAAAUGCCUAGUUCUUUGUAAUGUCCUUAGCCACCAGCAAGGCAAAUGUCUUGUGAAAAAGACAAAUGCCUGACUUCACAGUGUAUGCAAGGAGGUAGAACAGGAGGGUUUACUGGAAAGGUGUGAAAACACAAAUGGGAAAUGGUUCUUUUCUCACAGCACUCUUAUUCACACAGAACUUCAGGGAGAAUACUUCUGACUUGUAUCUGGAUAAAUAAGAGUAAUGAUUUACGUUUUUCUUUAAACCUUCAACUCGAAGGUAGAAGGAUGGAUGAAAAGAAGGAAAGAAACACACUUUAGCUUUUGAUUAAAAUGGGUAAAUUCAUGGAAUUAUGACAUUUGGAGAUGUAAAGACUGUGUCUGCUAUAUGCAGCAACAUAAGCUCUUUCCAUUGCAUGAUGAGUAUAGAAUGCAGAAAAGGAUUUGUAAAGUCUAAGUUUAUUUAACAUGUCUAUACUCUGGGGCAUUUGAAUUAUUAAGACUUUAGUUUAUUCUCCUUUAAAGACAACAUUGCCAGUUUAGGUAAUGCUCAACGGGUUUGUAUAAAGAAAAGGCAGAAAUAAAAUGUAUCAAAGUCUACCAUAGAGUUAGAAGGAAAGAAAAAUAAAACAUAGAUAAACACUGAGCAGACAAAAAAAAAAAAAAAUCAUAAAAAAUGAAAGAUGAGUGAAUAGAAAGGAGAAGACUGAACAAAAAGCUAAUUUUGGAGAGGAAAAGACUGUUUGAAUUUAAUGUAAAUUUAUGUAUCCAGCUGAAUAAUAUCACAUAUAUUAGACAUAGGAAGGAAUUGUGGCAAAUGUCCAUUCACAGUGUAAACUUUCAGUAGUGCUUUGCAGUGUUUAUUCAGUGAGUGAAUGGAGCAGACAUUUCCACUGCUCUUGGUGUUUUUUUUUUUCCUCCAUUUUCUGCAGAACUUCCUCUGUACAAAUUACAAAAACUGACUCAUGCCAUAGGUAAGGGAGGUUUGCACUAAUGGCUUUAGAUGGAUGAAGGACAAAGAAAAUGAAUGCCUAUCCAAUUUCUCAUUAAGGUGACAGGGAAUCAAUAUUUGUCUAAUAUUUGAAUUAAAUAUUUGGGAAUUAGAUAAUCUCAGAUCUAUUUCUUUUUAAUUGUAUUUAGGUUCUCUGUACUCCAGAUCUUGCGAAAAUCAGCUCUCCUGUGGAGUGCCAAAAAGAGUCUUAGUUUUCACUGUGCUCAAGUGUGGCUGAAGAUUAUACUGGAAGCACGUCUGUUUAGCAGCUAUAUGAUUUGGCAGUGUUCCUUCUGGGAGCAUUAACAUGGACUUCAGUGAGUGCAUGGUUGGGAUCUGUAUGUAUCUUUCACUUGAAUAAACGGUAGAGGAUGGUCUCUGGAUUCAGGUUACGUUCAACUAGAGAUGAUGGCUUCUUCCAUUUGUAAUUUGUAACCUGACAAUCCAGAUUCACUUCAGUCAUCAGCUAAAUCAUGUUUCAGAAGACUCUCACGAUUUCUGGCAAGCUGGAGUUUGAUGGAGUUAAAAACAAAAUAGUAAACUUGAAAAAUCUGUUCCUUACUGAAGCAAUUCAGUUUCAUUUGCAGCAUCUGGAAAGAAAGUCAAAACCUUCUUGGGAAGAAUUAACACAGCAAUAAUGAGAGCAAUGGUAAAGCAUAAUGCAUAAUAAGACAUGUUUUGUCUUGUGUCACUGAGCAUUAUCUUCACUUGAAAGAUAAUGUAUAAGUAUCAGUAUCUUUUUCCACAUAUCACUAACCCUUAAAAAGUAUGCAUGCAACUUUAUAUUUUCCCUGACCAUCUGGAUGUUGAAAUCCCUAGUAACAGUGACAAUGAAAUCUGAGCCAUGAUAAGAUUCCAUCUAAAAUCUGAUGAGGCCAAAACUUAAAAGUCGCCUCCUAAGGUUGCCACUGGUCAGAUGUAUUGUCAACAACAGUGCUGUAGCACUCAAUAUUAAUGUCUGAUUCUUCUUCAUUAGUAUCCAGCAGCUUAAGGACAUUCUGAUUCGAUUGGUGCUGGUGUUCCAUGUAUGACCAAGAUGCCAGAUUUUUGGGCAGCAUUUUGAGUUUUUUUUUUAAUUUAAUAUUAAAAAACAAAACCAAAACCAAAAACAACACAAGAAUAAAUAAUUUCUUUAAGUGUUUGUGCUACUUUCGUAGUUUUAUUUAGACAAUCCCAGGUGCUGUGAAUCCAUUCUUACUGUUAUUGAUAAUUUGAACAUCCAAAUUCCUGUGUCAUACAACUUCAUAUCUGUGCCUUUCUUCUUCCUCAAGAAAUCACAGCUGAAAUUGAUAUCAAGACCUGGCCUAAUACCCUUAACUCAGUUAGAUGAAUUCAGACAAGCUGUCCAAUCUUCAGAGGAAUCCUACAAACAAAAUGUAGUGGUGGAUGUCAGAUAGAAGCAAACAAAAGUCUGUGGCUUAGGAAUAGUUCCUUUCAUUCAUGAGUCUACAGACAGUCAAAAAAAAAAAAAAAAAAAAAAAGGCAAACGCUGUUGCCAACACUUCACAGCUGAAGAAUAUAAAGUCUAAAGGUACUUACUGUUACACCACAGGGAAGGAGAACAAAAACUGGAGCUGGACUUUAAUUUUUCAGAUCUGAAGAAUACCCUGGCAAG